GCCCGGCCACGGUGGGAUUCGAACCUACGACCUUUGGAAUACUAGCCCAAUGCUCUUCCAACUGAGCUACGCGGUCAGGACGGUUCGAGUAAGUGAUAUUUCGGAACAGAAUCUAGUUCCUUCGAUACCAAUGUUUUCUAGUAAUAUGAAUUUUUUCUAUGUUGGUGUAGUGUACUCAUGUGAAUAUGAUAUUUGUGGUGUUACUCUGAGUGUACAUCCACACCGGGCGAGCUUGAAAAAUAUGCCCGGCCACGGUGGGAUUCGAACCUACGACCUUUGGAAUACUAGCCCAAUGCUCUUCCAACUGAGCUACGCGGUCAGGACGGUUCGAGUAAGUGAUAUUUCGGAACAGAAUCUAGUUCCUUCGAUACCAAUGUUUUCUAG